rnacentral:rRNA from 1 species
GAUGAACGCUAGCGGCAGGCUUAACACAUGCAAGUCGAGGGGCAGCACGGGUAGCAAUACCUGGUGGCGACCGGCGCAAGGGUGCGUAACGCGUGAGCAACAUGCCCUAUACAGGGGGAUAAUCCAGGGAAACUUGGUCUAAUAUCCCAUAGUAUUUAGAGGAGGCAUCUUCUAUAAAUUAAAGCUUCGGUGGUAUAGGAUUGGCUCGCGUGACAUUAGCUAGAUGGUGAGGUAACGGCUCACCAUGGCAAUGAUGUCUAGGGGUUCUGAGAGGAAGGCCCCCCACACUGGGACUGAGACACGGCCCAGACUCCUACGGGAGGCAGCAGUGAGGAAUAUUGGACAAUGGAUGGAAAUCUGAUCCAGCCAUGCCGCGUGCAGGAAGACAGCCCUAUGGGUUGUAAACUGCUUUUAUAUGGGAGCAAUAAGGUCUACGUGUAGACUGAUGAGAGUACCAUAUGAAUAAGC